rnacentral:tRNA from 1 species
GCCCUCGUAGUUUAGCGGAUAAAACAGUAGCUUGCGGAGCUUCAAACAGGGGUUCGACUCCUCUCGAGGGCA